rnacentral:rRNA from 1 species
AGGACGAACGCUGGCGGCGUGCUUAACACAUGCAAGUCGAGGGGGCAGUGAGGGCAACCUUGCUGUCACCGGUGAACGGGUGCGUAACACGUGAGCGACCUACCCCUUUGCGGGGGAUAGCCGGCCCAACGGCCGGGUAAUACCGCAUACGCUCGCUUUGGGGCAUUCUGAGGCGAGGAAACUUUUCGGAGGCGGAGGGAGGGGCUCGCGGCCUAUCAGCUAGUUGGCGGGUAACGCCCACCAAGGCGGUGACGGUAGC